CCGUUUAAAAUAAACGGACAAAAACCAUCAAAAGCAUCAGACUGCAGGAGGAUGGCUAUCGUGCGAUAGGUUGGGCAAAAAAAAGUUCGAUAAUUCCGUUCCGUCUCAAUUUAAACAAAAAGAUUUUUUUCGCCCGAAAGUAGUGUUAUGUCAACCCGUUUGUUUUUGGAAAAAAACACGAUUCCGGGAUUUCAAAUCUCCGCGCCAAAACGUCCCCUGGCUAGAAAGGAUAACAAUGGCGGCGGGAGCCGUGGCUUGCGCAGUGAGUAGAACGCCAGCGGCCGCCGUUUCUCCCUCUCUCCCCGCCCCCCGGCCCCCCCACCAACCAUCCUCCCUCCCCUCUCACUCACCGACUCCUCUUCUUUCUCCAUCCCGGUCGGCAUCUGCGGCACGGCCCUAUUGAUGGAGACGCAAUCCUGGAGGUCCGGCAGAUCCUUCGCCCGGUCAACAUUGAUGUUAUCACCCCACAACCUUCCACCAUCCAGGACUGCAAAUGAAUAAACAAGUUAAAACGUCCUCUUCAGUUGCAUCAGAGUGGCAAAAUUAAUUAUCCAUAAAUUUUAUUACUCUUCAGUUGUAGCUGUCAAAAUCAGUCUCUGAAACAGACUUGGGGAUCUCCACCACUGCAACUCCCACAUCCAAGCUGGAGACAUGGGCCUGGUGAUGCAUGGGUUCCGUACCUCCUGUUCCCCAUCCAACGCUCCUCCAGAUGCUGCCGUUGAUCCGUCGUCCAUCCCUUUCGCUGAUGCCCCCGCUCCUUCAGGUGCCCAGGCUAGCUGUGGACCUGGAGCCUCGGCUUAGCCUGUGAGUCCAGACUGGGGGAGUCAGAUCUCCUUGCUUGCUGAGAGAAGGGUUGUGGGUGUUACUGGCUGGGCUAGCAUUAUUGCCCAUCUCUAGUAAACCUUGGGAAGGAGUGAUGAGCUCUCUUCUUGAACUGCUGCAAUCCAUUUGAUGCAGGUAGGCUGACAGGGACCAUAGGGUGGGAGUUCCAUGAUUUUGAUCCAACAACACUGAAGGAACAGUGAUAUAUUUUCAAAUCUUAAUUCUGAGUAGCUUGGAGGGGGCUUUGCAAGUGGUAUUGUCCCUAUAUAUCUGCUGCCUUUGUCCUUCUAAAUAGUGGUGGUCAUGGGUUUGCAAUGUGCUGUCUAAGGUGCCUUCUACAAUGUAUGGUGGUACUGUGCCUUUAAGAGAUGCGUUCUGUGCUAUUUCUCUUGCAAAGGGGUAUUGUCACAGUGGUGCCAAAAUAUCUCCUUCAGACAGGGAGUUGGUAAACAGCUUGGAGUUAUCCCGGAGUUCUUUUAAAAUGAAACAAGAGAAUCAUGAGUGGGCAAAGUCAGGGCUCACAAAGACCCAGGAAGGGUUUUUGUUUUGCUUUUAGUGAGAAGGUUUCCACUGGCUGCUGAACUGAAAGCUCGAGUUCCCACCUGCUAGUGAAGUCUUAGAUAGUGAGGCUUUGUCUUAAAAAUGAAAAGAGGCAGAUUAUUUCUUUCCUCUGGACUGAAGAGAGACUGCAUGUGAGAACCAUGAGAUAACAAGGUGUAGAGCUGGAUGAACACAGCAGGCCAAGCAGGAUCAUAGGAGCAGGAAGGCUGACGUUUCGGGCCUAGACCCUUGG